UACGAAGGGGGCUAGCGUUGUUCGGAAUCACUGGGCGUAAAGGGCGCGUAGGUGGCGCGGGCAGUCAACGGUGAAAGUUCGGGGCUCAACCCUGAAUCGGCCGUCGAUACUCCCGGGCUUGAGCACUGUAGAGGCUAAGUGGAAUUCCGGGUGGUAGCGGUGGAAUGCGUAGAGAUCCGGAAGAACACCGGUGGCGAAGGCGGUUAGCUGGGCAGUUGCUGGACACUGAGGCGCGACAGCGUGGGGAGCAAACAAGG
rnacentral:rRNA from 1 species